UCGAUGGAAGCGUCAAAAGGCGGCGUUGGUUAAAUGGUUGGUUCGUGGCAGCCAAGCGCGGCGCUUGAAGUGCCCAUACCGAUGUUGGCAUUCGAUGCUGGCUCUUCCUAGUAGGAAGUUGCUAUCAUUGAAACGCAGAAGUCUUAAAGUAUCGGAUUAUUCACCCACCAGUAGAGAACGUGAACUGGGUUAAGACCGUCAUGAGACAGUUUAGUUUUACCCUACUGACGAAGUAGACACUGCGACAGUAGUCAAACUCCGAGUUAGUACGAGAGGAACAAUUCGUCCAGAUACUUGGUUGAUGCCGUUGUCUGAAAACACAGUAGGGCAGAACUACCAUCUGCUGGAUUACGGCGGAACGUCUGUAAGCCUCAACCCAUGCUGGAUAUAAGCAGUGUUGUACACCGUGCUCAAUGCUGAGAGAAAAAUGCUGGCUUCGGCCUGACCAAAAUUCAAGCUGCUAUAACUCUAGCUGCAUUGAUUAUGGUCAGAGUGUAUGGUGAUCAAACAGUUGCAAGUAUUCGGCUCGAUAAAUCCUUUAAAGAUGACUCAACUGCACGGGUAUCAUAAGUACUGGCUUAGUCUUACAAUCCACUGAGAUUCAUCUCGUAUGCGCCGAUUU
rnacentral:ncRNA from 1 species